rnacentral:rRNA from 1 species
GAUGAACGCUGGCGGCGCGCCUAACACAUGCAAGUCGAACGGCACCCCUCCUCGGAGGGAAGCGCGUGGCGAACGGCUGAGUAACACGUGGAGAACCUGCCCCCUCCCCCGGGAUAGCCGCCCGAAAGGACGGGUAAUACCGGAUACCCCGGGGUGCCGCAUGGCACCCCGGCUAAAGCCCCGACGGGAGGGGAUGGCUCCGCGGCCCAUCAGGUAGACGGCGGGGUGACGGCCCACCGUGCCGACAACGGGUAGCCGGGUUGAGAGACCGACCGGCCAGAUUGGGACUGAGACACGGCCCAGACUCCUACGGGAGGCAGCAGUGGGGAAUCUUGCGCAAUGGGGGGAACCCUGACGCAGCGACGCCGCGUGCGGGACGGAGGCCUUCGGGUCGUAAACCGCUUUCAGCAGGGAAGAGUCAAGACUGUACCUGCAGAAGAAGCCCCGGCUAACUACGUG